rnacentral:rRNA from 1 species
UACUCUGACCAGCCAUGCCGCGUGCAGGAGACUGCCCUAUGGGUUGUAAACUGCUUUUAUACAGGAAGAAACACUAGUACGAGUACUAGCUUGACGGUACUGUAAGAAUAAGGACCGGCUAACUCCGUGCCAGCAGCCGCGGUAAUACGGAGGGUCCGAGCGUUAUCCGGAAUCAUUGGGUUUAAAGGGUCCGCAGGCGGUCGAUUAAGUCAGAGGUGAAAUCCCAUAGCUUAACUAUGGAACUGCCUUUGAUACUGGUUGACUUGAGUCAUAUGGAAGUAGAUAGAAUGUGUAGUGUAGCGGUGAAAUGCAUAGAUAUUACACAGAAUACCGAUUGCGAAGGCAGUCUACUACGUAUGUACUGACGCUCAUGGACGAAAGCGUGGGGAGCGAACAGGAUUAGAUACCCUGGUAGUCCACGCCGUAAACGAUGGACACUAGUUGUUGGGCAUUAGCUCAGUGACUAAGCGAAAGUGAUAAGUGUCCCACCUGGGGAGUACGAUCGCAGAUUGAAACUCA